rnacentral:lncRNA from 1 species
GAUGUGAACAUUGACUCUGACUUGUGCUUUGCCAUUUUCAUCUGACAACUUCAUUAGAGACCAAACCAAUGGGCUACUGAAUCUUCAAUUUGGAUUUCUAAAUUAUGGAAACCAGAUGAGACCAGGACUUAUUUCCUAGGUCUCUCCCUGCCCAGAAAGAGUUGCCCUGUGGAUUCUGAAAGGGAAUCCCUGUUGAUUUUGCUACGCCAGCAUUCAGAGAUCCAUCAGGUUCUUCCAGCCCCUGUGGCCGGUCGGAUGGAAGAGCUGGCUAUAUAGAAGGGCCUGUCUGCAACUCUGCAGGGCUCAUGAUGGUGAAGGAUGAAUUUGUCCUGAAAAUGAUGUGGUUAGUAUACCUGCGGGGAACGAGGCAAUCACAAUAUUGUUCUCAUGGUGCUCAGUGUUGGCUGAUUAGAAAAGGACUACACUAUGGAUAAUGUACAUCCACUAUGACACACUACGGGGAGAACAGAGGAAUAUCCCCUGGAGGAACCAACUAGAAUGAAUCCUAUCUAGAAGGCCUCUGCAUUGUGAUCUUUG